GACAGAGGGUGCAAACGUUGUUCGGAUUUACUGGGCGUAAAGCGCGUGUAGGCGGCUUGGCAAGUCGGAUGUGAAAGCCCACGGCUCAACCGUGGAAGCGCAUCCGAAACUGCUUCGCUCGAGUCUCGGAGAGGAAGGUGGAAUGCUUGGUGUAGAGGUGAAAUGCGCAGAUAUCAGGAAGAACACCCGUGGCUAAGGCGGCUCUCUAGUACGGUACUGACGCUGAGACGCGAAAGCGUGGGGAGCGAACAGG
rnacentral:rRNA from 1 species